UACGUAGGGAGCUAGCGUUGUCCGGAAUCAUUGGGCGUAAAGCGCGCGUAGGCGGCCCGGUAAGUCCGCUGUGAAAGUCAAAGGCUCAACCUUUGAAUGUCAGCGGAUACUGCCGGGCUAGAGUCCGGAAGAGGCGAGUGGAACUCCUGGUGUAGCGGUGGAAUGCGCAGAUAUCAGGAGGAACACCAAUUGCGAAGGCAGCUCGCUGGGACGUUACUGACGCUGAGACGCGAAAGCGUGGGGAGCAAACAGG
rnacentral:rRNA from 1 species